rnacentral:rRNA from 1 species
GGAUGAACGCUGGCGGCGUGCCUAAUACAUGCAAGUCGAGCGAACGGACGAGAAGCUUGCUUCUCUGAUGUUAGCGGCGGACGGGUGAGUAACACGUGGAUAACCUACCUAUAAGACUGGGAUAACUUCGGGAAACCGGAGCUAAUACCGGAUAAUAUUUUGAACCGCAUGGUUCAAAAGUGAAAGACGGUCUUGCUGUCACUUAUAGAUGGAUCCGCGCUGCAUUAGCUAGUUGGUAAGGUAACGGCUUACCAAGGCAACGAAGCAUAGCCGACCUGAGAGGGUGAUCGGCCACACUGGAACUGAGACACGGUCCAGACUCCUACGGGAGGCAGCAGUAGGGAAUCUUCCGCAAUGGGCGAAAGCCUGACGGAGCAACGCCGCGUGAGUGAUGAAGGUCUUCGGAUCGUAAAACUCUGUUAUUAGGGAAGAGCAUAUGUGUAAGUAACUGUGCACAUCUUGACGGUACCUAAUCAGAAAGCCACGGCUAACUACGUG